AGAUUAAGUUAUUAAGGGCGCACGGUGGAUGCCUUGGCACUAGAAGCCGAUGAAGGACGUUACUAACGACGAUAUGCUUUGGGGAGCUGUAAGUAAGCUUUGAUCCAGAGAUUUCCGAAUGGGGAAACCCAGCAUGAGUUAUGUCAUGUUAUCGAUAUGUGAAU
rnacentral:rRNA from 1 species